CGCCUGGCCCCGCCCCGCGCACGUGUUCAGCGACCCAGGCGGCUGCGGCGGAGAAGGUUUACCGUGGUGGCAGCCCUCAUGGCGGGUCCCCUGUGGCGGGCCACCGCAUUUGUGCAGAGACACCGGACAGGCCUGUUGGUGGGUUCCUGUGCGGGUCUGUUUGGGGCGCAGAUCUCGUACCACCUCUUCCCAGAUCCUGUGGUCCAGUGGCUGUACCAAUACUGGCCUCAGGGCCGGCCGGCCCCCCUCUCCCCAGAGCUGCAGGGCCUCUUCCAGGAGGUGCUGCAGGACAUUGGUGUUCCCUCAGGCCACUACUUCGAGGCCUUUACCACCUUCACCUUCCAGCCCGUGAGCGCCGGCUUCCCGAGACUCCACGCCGGGGCUGUGGUAGGCAUCCCCGCCAGCUUCCUAGGUGGCCCGGUAACCAAGGCCGAUGAGCCUGUGGUGGUCCAUGGGCAGCGAGUGGACUGGCAGAGCCCAGCGGGUGCCAGGCUCAGAAAUGCCCUGACCUUGUCCCGUGAUGCCCAGAAGUUCGCCUUGGCCAGGGAGGUGGUGUACCUGGAGAGCAGUGCGGCUGCCCUGCAGGCCCUGCCCGCCCCCGCCUGCCUGGCGGGCACCUGGGCACUGAGCGUGGUUGCCAAGCACGCCCUGGGGCUCUACGGAGGCCCCUUGAACUUACGGGCUGCCUUCAACUUGCUGGCGGCGGUGGCCGGCUUUGUGGCCUAUGCCUUCUGCACGGACUCUCUUACCCAUGCCCUGGAAGCCUGGCUGGACCGGCGGGCAGCCUCCCUAUCUGCGGCCUACGCCUGGGGCGGAGUGGAGUUCUACGAGAAGGUUCUAUCCUGCAACCUGGCCCUGCGCAGCCUCCUGGGCCGGCCUGGGGAGCAGCUGUAUACACCCAGCGGGAACGUCGUGCCCAGACACUGGUUCCGCAUCAAACACUUGCCCUACACAACCCGCCGGGACUUGGUACUGCAGCUGUGGAGGGCAGCGCACAGCUCCAGCAGCUCCUGAGGGCCUCCUCCCCAGGACUGGUCCAGCUCCAGCCAGUGCCUUCCCACCAUGGACUCUGGGGGGGUGCUCUUGGGGCCUCUGCGCCCAGAGCCCGGGAUCAGAAAAUUCACAGACUUUGGAGUAAAGCAGUCCAGACUCUACCCCAGUCCACCACCUAUGAUCUCCAUGACCUUGGGCCCAUCCCUUUAUGAAUCUGAGCCUUGGUUUCCUCUACUGUGAAAUGGGAGUGAUGCGAACUCCUGAUGGGGUUGUGGGGUUGCAUGAGAUCAUGAACGCAAGGUCCUGGGAGGGGGUGCCAUGGGAGAUCCUUCUUUCUGGCUCUUGGAAUCCAGAGGGCUGCGGAGGUCAGGCCACAUCCUCCUGCGAGAGGUGAAGCCAGCUCUUUCUUACAGCGAGGAAUCACCCCAUCAUUUGCCUGGUGGUCUGAUGGCAAUCUCCUCGUACUGUGGUAGAGAUUAAAACCUCUGAGAGGCCAAGGCUGGUAUAUUCUCGGAGUCAUGCUUUGAUGAAGUAUGUCACCAUAUUGGGGAGGCCCAUGUGGCAAGGAGCUAAGGGUGGCCUCUGACCAACAGCCAGCUAAGCAGAGAGGCCCUCCAUCCAACAACCUACCAUGAACUGAAUCCUGACAACCUGGAAGAAAAUCCUCUCUCAGUCUAGUUUUCAGAUGAGACCCCAGCCUUUGUCGACACCUCUAUUGCAGCCUGUGACAUCCUGAAGCAGAGGACACAUUCAAGCCAUGCCUGGAUCCCCACCCACUGAAACAGUGAGAUAAUAAAUGUGGGUUAUAUUAAAUCACUUCAUUUUAUGGUAACUUUUCAUGCAACAGUAGAUAACUAAUAUACAUUAUGAAUAAACAUAAUAUUAGAAAGAAAUUUAGCAAAAUUUGACACAGUCACAAAACUGCAUCUUUUGAUUCAGUCAUUCCAAACCUAGAAAUCUAUCCUAGAGCUAUAAUCCAGCAGAAACUAAAUCAUAUACACCCAAAGAUGGACAUAAGCACAUUACCUAUAGUAACAGAAAAAGAGAUAAUGGAAAAGUUGAAAAACAGUGAUUUAGGACAUUUUGGUACAUUCAUUUGUUGAGUAUUGUUUAAUCACUAAAAAGUAUACUUAUGAAGACUGGUAGAAACAUGUAGAAAUAUUCUAAAUAUCAAAUUUUUUUUUUAAAUAUGAAGUACAGAUGGC